UUUCUUUCUAUCCUAGUAUAACUUGAAGAAUUCAAAUAGUCAUGCUAGAACAGAAAGAAUGGG
rnacentral:pre_miRNA from 1 species